GGCCCAGACUCCUACGGGAGGCAGCAGUGAGGAAUAUUGGUCAAUGGGCGCGAGCCUGAACCAGCCAAGUCGCGUGAGGGAUGACGGCCCUACGGGUUGUAAACCUCUUUUGCCGGGGAGCAACGGGCGCCACGUGUGGCGCCACUGAGAAUACCCGGAGAAAAAGCAUCGGCUAACUCCGUGCCAGCAGCCGCGGUAAUACGUAUGGUGCAAGCGUUAUCCGGAUUUACUGGGUGUAAAGGGAGCGCGGGCGGCACGGCAAGCCUGAUGUGAAAGCCCGCGGCCCAACCGCGGGACUGCAUUGGGAACUACCGGGCUGGAGUGCCGGAGAGGUAGGCGGAAUUCCUAGUGUAGCGGUGAAAUGCGUAGAUAUUAGGAGGAACACCGGUGGCGAAGGCGGCCUACUGGACGGUGACUGACGCUGAGGCUCGAAAGCGUGGGGAGCAAACAGGAUUAGAUACCCGAGUAA
rnacentral:rRNA from 1 species